GUACCACCUGUGGAGAAAAAGGAGCGAGCAAAAGAUGUUCUGUUUGUAAAAUGGUGAUAUAUUGUGACCAGAUCUGCCAGAAGACACACUGGUUCGCACAUAAGAAGAUGUGUAAGAGUCUGAAAGAUGUUUAUGAGAAGCAGCAGACCGAAGCUGCCAAACAGAAGAGGCAGGAGGAAGCGAGUAGAUGCCAAUUCUAACCAUGUUAAUGAAGAUGAACCAGAGGCUGAAGUGGGUAUCUCUCACGAAGAUCCCACUCCUGGCGAGUCUGUGGAAAGGGAGGAGGAAGCCAGCAAGGAGGCUGAACUGGGCAGUGCACAGGAUGCUCCUGCAGGGCCACAGCUGUCCGAGGAGUAGAAGCUGUCGACAGUGGCCAGCCUGGGUGGACUUCAUCCUGGCAGAUGGCUGCAGAACUUCACUGGCCCUGACAGUGCAGGGCACAGUGGCAGGAUUGCACAUCCCUAGAAUAGAGGCUUUCAAACAAAGCUGCCUCCCACGCCAUGAUUUCCUGUUGAUUUCUGUUCUAUAAUUGAACAGGCAUUUCUGCGGAUAAAAAAGUUUUUUUUUCAAAAUACCCCCAAACAAGUCCAUUCCUUUGCUGGCUCCCCAGUGAUUGUACACAAAGGAAAGUAAAUCACCUUAAAGAAGAAAUCUGGGUUCUAGGGAACAAAGAGAACAGGGAGGAUGUGAAAGAGAAGUGAUGUUUAGGGAAGAAGGAAUCGUGGGCACAGAGAUGGGCAGAGAAACAAAACGUACCUGUGAAUGUUGUCCUGAAGUUGUACAUACAAAGCUAUCAUGAGGAAUUCUCCGUGCUCCUAAAGCUUUGUCAUAUACAGUUAAGCCUGCUGUAGUUUAAAUAGGAAUUUUCGAGAGCACUUUGAACCCCGCGUUCCUUGCAGCGAUACUCUGCAUGAUUUGAACAAUCAGAAAGGUU
rnacentral:lncRNA from 1 species